rnacentral:misc_RNA from 1 species
AGCAGAGGCAGUACUAAAUGUUCUGAUGUCAGUGAGGGGCCUCCAUGCACUGGAUUUGUGGAAGGAAUGGCUCCUGUAUUUUCAAGAUCUGCUUGGUAUUGUGCUUGGCAUCUUAUACAGAAUGAUCUAGUCCAUGGAUGGGGAAUGGAUAUGAAACUCGGAUAUUGUGCACAGGGAGAUCGCACGAAGAAGGUGGGAGUCAUUGAUAGUGAGUACAUUGUUCAUCAGGGCAUACAAAC